CGUGGAGGAUGACACUUUUCGGAGCGUAAACUCCUUUUCUUAGGGAAGAAUUCUGACGGUACCUAAGGAAUAAGCACCGGCUAACUCCGUGCCAGCAGCCGCGGUAAUACGGAGGGUGCAAGCGUUACUCGGAAUCACUGGGCGUAAAGGGCGCGUAGGCGGAUUAUCAAGUCUCUUGUGAAAUCUAAUGGCUUAACCAUUAAACUGCUUGGGAAACUGAUAGUCUGGAGUGAGGGAGAGGCAGAUGGAAUUGGUGGUGUAGGGGUAAAAUCCGUAGAUAUCACCAAGAAUACCCAUUGCGAAGGCGAUCUGCUGGAACUCAACUGACGCUAAGGCGCGAAAGCGUGGGGAGCAAACAGGAUUAGAUACCCUGGUAGUCCACGCCCUAAACGAUGUACACUAGUUGUUGGGGUGCUAGUCAUCUCAGUAAUGCAGCUAACGCAUUAAGUGUACCGCCUGGGGAGUACGGUCGCAAGAUUAAAACUCAAAGGAAUAGACGGGGACCCGCACAAGCGGUGGAGCAUGUGGUUUAAUUCGAAGAUACGCGAAGAACCUUACCUGGGCUUGAUAUCCUAAGAACCUUUUAGAGAUAAGAGGGUGCUAGCUUGCUAGAACUUAGAGACAGGUGCUGCACGGCUGUCGUCAGCUCGUGUCGUGAGAUGUUGGGUUAAGUCCCGCAACGAGCGCAACCCACGUAUUUAGUUGCUAACGGUUCGGCCGAGCACUCUAAAUAGACUGCCUUCGUAAGGAGGAGGAAGGUGUGGACGACGUCAAGUCAUCAUGGCCCUUAUGCCCAGGGCGACACACGUGCUACAAUGGCAUAUACAAUGAGACGCAAUACCGCGAGGUGGAGCAAAUCUAUAAAAUAUGUCCCAGUUCGGAUUGUUCUCUGCAACUCGAGAGCAUGAAGCCGGAAUCGCUAGUAAUCGUAGAUCAGCCAUGCUACGGUGAAUACGUUCCCGGGUCUUGUACUCACCGCCCGUCACACCAUGGGAGUUGAUUUCACUCGAAGCCGGAAUACUAAACUAGUUACCGUCCACAGUGGAAUCAGCGACUGGGGUGAAGUCGUAACAAGGUAACCGUAGGAGAACCUGCGGUUGGAUCACCUCCUUUCUA
rnacentral:rRNA from 1 species